GAGGUAGCUCCUCACCAGGUGAGGGCAAUUAGUGCCUCUUUGUUUGAGGCCUGGUUGUGUGGCAGGAUUGCUGUGUCCAUGCAGGCAAAGACUCAGCUCUCCCUGUUUAAGCCAGAGUAGAGCCUUUCAACUACUGUGUUGCUUUUCAACAGAGCCCCAUAUUGAACAAGAUUUUAGGCCAGACUGCUGCUUUGCCUUAGCCAGUUUGCCAAGGCUGUUGGCUAAUGUGUCUACAGACUGUACAGCUGAAAUCAUUUGUAGAUGGCAGUGAGACGAGCUGCGGGGAGUGGUCACAGGAUAUGCACCCCUCCUUGCAUACAGUGCAGUAUGUUUGAAGGGUAGUGGUCACUUCACUGGUUGUGGGUUUGAUUUCCCUUGCAGUGUUUGCAGUGAUCAGUGUGCACACAAGGUGGUUUCUACUGGGGUCUGCGAUGGAAUCUCCCCAUGGUCUUUCUCCAGUAUUAUUUACCUUUUUUUAAGUCUUAUUUGAGAGCUGAAUACACGUCUCCUGCUCUUCUUGAACCCUUGAAGAAUUGUGUCAACACUCAGAUGGUUGGUGUCGAGGGCUGGUAUAGUUCUAUUCAGUGUUUCGGUCCCUUUUGUAACCUGGGUGGGGUCACAAAAACUUAAAUUAUAGAAGAAUAUGGAUGAGUUUCUGAGAGCAAUUUGACAAGGUUUUUUUUUUUUUUAAAGAGAAUUUUUAAAAUCUUUGGAAAAAGGAAUGGAAUAUUUUAACAUCUAAUUAUUAAAGAGUGCUGCAGUGAAAAACAGAUUCUAUGCAUUUUAGCUCAACGUCUUUGAACAACCAGUUUUCUUCUAGCAAUUUCAGAAGAGCUUUAUGAGGUGCACAUGAACGUACCACAAAGUCCCUCUGAGUAUGUCAACUCCGACAGCAGAGAAGAGACGUGUAAUACAUUACCAGAAUUCAACGACACAAAGACAACAGAACUCGGCAUAAUUUUGUGAAAUUUGCUGGUGUGGCAGAGUGUCCAAUGAUAUUUAAAAGGCUGGUGUAGUCUUUAUAACACCA